rnacentral:lncRNA from 1 species
AAAGAAGUGGAUUUUGAAUUGUUUUAGGACAACUAAGUAAAAAGGUGAUGAUCCAAAUAUUUGCUACUCUAAAAAUGACUUCUGUUUUACUUGCACAACUCUAAAGUUACCAUAUAUGUAUAUAAGUCUGAAUAAUUAGACCCUCUGUUUAUUGUUUUCCCAAAAAUCCUAACAGAGGAAAUAUUUUUUUCAACACAUUUCUAAACAUAAUAGUUUUGAAUAACUCAUUUCUAAUAACUGAUUUAUUUUAUCUUCGCGAUGAUGACAGCACAUAAUAUUUGACUAGAUGUUUUUCAAGAUACUAGUAUGCUAGGAAAAUUCCUUGCUCUGUUAAACAUCAUUUGUAAAAUAUUUGAAAAGUAAAACACAAUUCACAGGAGGGCGAAUAAUCUUGACUUCAGCUGUAUAUUACUAGUUCAUCUGCUGUAAACUCAUUGUUUCAGAUGAGCAGACGCUAUGGAGUGAACAUAGGCCUGACGCAUGAGAAGCUGCCACAUCCUUCAAAGCUGAUGGUUAGAAAAAGAAGUCAAAGAGGACACGGACAUGCUGCAAACGUUCUCCAACACAUAGGAGAACUCCGGAUGAGACAGCGCCAUAUAAACCAGUGAGAGGAAGGAGGAUUGUGAGAGAAAGAGGCCUUUAAAGGGAUAGUUCACCAAUGAAUUCUUAACAAAAUUAUAUGGUCACUUUUGAUUUCAUUUGUUCUUAAAGUACCAAUGAAAUUAAAACUAACCAUAUUGAUGUUGCUAGCUCACAUUUUUAGUUUUGUGCUGAACAAUUAAUAAUUAAGAAAAAAUAUAUACUAACAUACUAAGCCACGCCCCUCCAGUUUUGACAACAAACAGAAAUAGUGAGGUUAGGCUGUAAUAACUCUGAAAUGCCUACUUUACAACAUCCAAUCAUCUGGUAGUUGAAAAAGCAAGCCACACCCACUGUUUUCUCAUUUAAUAUUCCGUUUCACAAUACGGAAAAAAAAACAGUUGCAGCUUCCUAUUCAUGCAGACUUUAAGGGUUAGAAAGUCUGUGAGAGUCAAGUCUAUUCUGCCUACUUCCAGGUUGAAGGGAGACAAAUGGUGGGGAGCCACAGCUGUUUUCGGACCUGAGGAGAUCGGUGGUCCACAGGAGAUCAAAGAGCAAAGGCUUGAGCAGCUUCUUGGCCUUUCAGCUGAUGUGAGCCUUAAUGAGAUAUUAGAGGACAAUCCGGAUUCAAGCAGGACAAAGCCUUAUGAAGCUCCUUACUCACCCACUCAUCAGUUCUCAUUUCCAGGAUAUGAGCAGUUUCUUGAGCUGGCUCCAGGAGGAAACCCCAUGAUGGCGUUUGUUGCAGGAACAGCCCAUAGAUCCCUCUUGACAGCUGAUGACGCCGCAGGGUUUUCUGGAGGAUCUGACGGGAUCCUGAGGAGCAAUGAUGACAAUGAUAAGAUCAGUCUUUCAAAUCUAGAGUUCUUUUGAAUUAGCUUGACUCUGUUUCGGCCAUGCUCACAUAUCAUUUGCUGUUGUUAAAUGUGUUUUUAUAAACGCAUUUGCAUUUGAUUUUUAUAGUUGCAGAUGUUUUAUGAUGAGUGUUGAGGUUUUUAAUGCUCAGUUCAUAAUGCAGGGGUAUUGGUGGAACGGUUCAUGAUGCAUUUGGCUUAUAGGUCAAGUUUUAAAAGAUAAAAGACUUGACUUUGUUCUCUUGGCUGGAUUGAAAGAAAGUUCUGCUUGGUCAUUUACAACUGAAAUAUUUAGUAAUGGAGACACAUGUUUGCUGUUUUGGCAUUUAUGAAUAUUUAAUUUAUGAUCCAUGUGAUUUUGAAUCUUCAUCCAACAAUUAAACAGGCAAUAAAAAAAAAACAACAUUUUCAAAUAUAUCCUGCAGGUAUGACAUUUAUAUAUUUGAAAACCAAAUAUGAACUUGUAUGUAUUUGCAUAAACUCCUCUAUAGUAUUUGGUCUAUGUGGGUCUCUG